GACGAACGCUGGCGGCGUGCUUAACACAUGCAAGUCGAACGAAAAGGCGCUGCUUUUGUGGCGUGCUCGAUUGGCGAACGGGUGAGUAUAACGUGAGUAACCUGCCCUUGACUUUCGGAUAACUUCAGGAAACUGGGGCUAAUAUCGGAUAGGAACUCCUGCUGCAUGGUGGGGGUUGGAAAGAGUCGGCGGUAGGGGAUGGACUCGCGGCUUAUCCGCUUGUUGGUGGGGUAGUGGCUUACCAAGGCUUUGACGGGUAGCCCGCCUGAGAGGGUGAACGGCGACCAUGCGCCUGAGGGACGGACCAGAAGCCUACGGGACGCAGCAGGGGAGAGUAUUGCGCAGCGGGCGGGAGUCUGAUGCAGAGACGCUGCGUGCGGAAUAACGGGCUUCUGGGUGUAAACAGAUUUCGCCUUUAACAUAGCGUGCUUGACGGUAAUGGGUAAGGAAGCACCGGCUAACUACGUG
rnacentral:rRNA from 1 species